rnacentral:rRNA from 1 species
AAUGGACGAAAGUCUGACCCAGCGACAUCGCGUGGGGGAUGAAGGCCUUAGGGUUGUAAACUCCUUUUAUAAGAGAAGAGUAAGGACGGUACCUUAUGAAUAAGCCCCGGCUAACUACGUGCCAGCAGCCGCGGUAAUACGUAGGGGGCGAGCGUUACCCGGAAUCACUGGGCGUAAAGAGAGCGUAGGCGGUUUGGAAAGUCAUUUGUGAAAGCUCCUGGCUCAACUAGGAGAGGUCAAGUGAAACUUCCUGACUUGAGGACGGUAGAGGUAAGCGGAAUUCUUGGUGUAGCGGUGAAAUGCGUAGAUAUCAAGAAGAACACCAGAGGCGAAGGCGGCUUACUGGGCCGUUUCUGACGCUGAGGCUCGAGAGCGUGGGUAGCAAACAGGAUU